UGGGGAAUUUUGGACAAUGGGCGCAAGCCUGAUCCAGCCAUGCCGCGUGCAGGAUGAAGGCCCUCGGGUUGUAAACUGCUUUUGUACGGAACGAAAAGCCUCUUUCUAAUAAAGAGGGGUGAUGACGGUACCGUAAGAAUAAGCACCGGCUAACUACGUGCCAGCAGCCGCGGUAAUACGUAGGGUGCGAGCGUUAAUCGGAAUUACUGGGCGUAAAGCGUGCGCAGGCGGUCUUGCAAGACAGUGGUGAAAUCCCCGGGCUCAACCUGGGAACUGCCAUUGUGACUGCAAGGCUGGAGUACGGCAGAGGGGGAUGGAAUUCCGCGUGUAGCAGUGAAAUGCGUAGGUAUGCGGAGGAACACCGAUGGCGAAGGCAGUCCACUGGGCCUGUACUGACGCUCAUGCACGAAAGCGUGGGGAGCAAACA
rnacentral:rRNA from 1 species